CAUACUUUUAUUUUAGGUUGAAAGUCUUAUUGAAUUUGAUGUAAGGCCUAUGGAACUUUGUUGACUUUAUUGAGAUAUUAAAGCUGAAAUUUGGAUUGUUAUAUUUUUUAUCUAAAUUAUUGACUAAUUGUUCCACUAUGAAGCAUUGAUAUCAUGAUAAGAUGUCUUGCAUGCUUAUGGAAAGAGUUUCCUAUGAGUAUGCAGUAAUUUCUAUGACCUUCGAUUCACAAUCUCGGAU
rnacentral:lncRNA from 1 species